CUCACCCUUGUUCUCUGUUUAUUCUUCUUCACCACACCAAACCUCACCCCACUUCACAUGACCACAGAUCACCGCCACCGCCGCAAAUCGCCACCGCCACCGCUGCCAUCGCCACUGCCACAGAUCACAGUCGAGAUAUAACCGUGUGAAGCAAAUCAACCUUGAAUUUGCACAAGAUAUUGAAGACAAACAUCUUGAUAUCCUUAGAAGCAAGAUUGGAGUAUGAUACCCUUGGUACUUUUGUUAAAGCUGUUGUUGUUUAUCUUGGAACAACAUUAGUGAAGUUUAUUUGCCUGGCAACCUUUCUUAAGGUUUCUGAAAAUGACAGCUUUGACAUAUCAGGAGGUAAAUUUAAUCUUCGACAACCCAAAAUUUGGUCACUAUUGUCACAGAUUGGGUGUUUGUCAUCCUCCCAAGAAACCAGCUCCACGAGUGGUACUGCAUACCCCGUGAAUUAAGCCCAAGGACCAACCCAGAAGAUGUGAUUGGGAUCUACCCUGCUUGUCUUGCUGCUCACAAACUGAUACGCUUGCAAGGUGCUUAGUGUAGAACUCGCAUCCCCAAUGAGUCGAGAAUCAAGAACCACCGUUGCUCACCAUCGCAGAUGACCACCGCCGCUUAUCUUCCACCGUCGCACAUAAUCACAUCGCCACUUCCGCUCACCAUUGUCUUACCUCCCAUCGACAUUCAGGCAAUUCGAGCUUACUCAAGAAAUUCAUAUUCCUCUCUGUAGCCUCUCCAAUACCAAUCUCACAGUCAGAGACCUGAAGGUGCCUAAAACCAAAUUGGAGGAAGCAACAUUUAAACUAUUACAAGAGGCGAGCAAGUUUGAAUUCAUCCCCUUUAUCCCACAUGGCACAGCUUUAAUAAGAUUUCAAAGUUGGUGGACAGCCAAUAUGGAGGUGCACCUGGCAAUACCUCCUAAAGAUCUGCUAGUAGGGCUAAAUGUGCCCUCUCAAGCCAAGCCCAAAGAGAUUGGGACCACUGUUACUGUCUCCACUACCUCUAUCAUCCCAGCUCCUACUCAUGCUGCUUCAUCACCUCCUCUUAGGAUCACUAGGGUUGCUUCGAAGAAAGGAGUUCCACAGGAUGACUCUCCGUAGAGAGCUCAAGCUUUGAACAUUCUUAAGGGCAAGCAACAACAACAAAAGAAAAGAAAACUUCUGCUUGACCUUGAAGAACUUGAGGCUCACCUGGAAGAGAAAGAAGCAGAGAAGGAAAAAGAGACACCAUUGAAAAGAAAGAAGAAAAUGACAAUCUCUCUUUCUGAUCUCAUUGGUGAUCUUACUCAUAAGGUGGCUGCCAUGGCAGUGGAAGAAGAGCACUCCAAAGAAAUUAUUGUAUUUCAGAGGUUUGAAAAGAGAAGGCAGUAGCAAAUACUAAGGGAUGAGGUUGCUGUUGUUGAUGCACUACAAAGGGAGGCUGCAAGGAAGAAACAACUUGUUGAGCAUUGCUCCCUUCGCAGUUCUCCAACCAACACCACUACAACCUCUGAAGCUACAGCAGUCAUUCCUUCUUCGACAUUGGCUUCCUCAGCCUCAAAAGGAACAAGGAAGGCUUAUACUGAAACGCCAAUGAGUAUGCCCAUUUAGAUGAUGCUUCUACUUCCCAGCUCUAUAUUCCCCAUGCCUUCCUCUUUGAAGCACAACAUCCCUCCUUCUUUAUGCCUAGGCUUAAUUUCAUAUUUGUCCCAUCUAUUUUUCAUCUCAUCCCAUUCUACCCCUCCUGUAGUCUUGGCUGCCCCUUUACCACCUGAGAGAAUUCCAGUUGCCAUUUCAUCUUUAGUGGUGAUCAGUACUAGCAAGGAAGGCACUGGUGGCUCACUAAUUCCUUUCCCACAGUCCAGCUCUAGUCCCUCUUCUCUUGACCUACUGGCGGCCAGGACAAUAGACACUACUAGGGACAACUCCACUUCUUCUCCUAUCCUCAAGUUUCCAUCUUUUCCUUCAAUCAGCGACUCUUCUAUAUUACCAAUGUCAGAGGAUGAGAUGGACAUCAUCGAGGCUCAACUGGCCAGCUUAUUUGGCAUAUCUUCACGAGUUUGAGCACCAAGCAGUGAGAUUGAGUCAUUGGUCCUUGCAGACUCUCUUUUGGAAAUUAUUGAGAGCUCCUCAACUACUACUGAAGCUUUUUUGCCUCGGGUGGAUUUGGACGCUUGCUUAGACUUACUGCAAUCAUUCUCAAGGAUUCCAUUUGAAGCCUUACAAAAGCCUAUUAUUAAAAAUGGUUUCCUUUAGUGCUGCAAAGUAUUCGAGCAAUCCAACAUGGCCUUUUCAAGUCACUUAUCCCAAGCAGCAUCCACCUUAGAUUGUCAUGUCAAUAUCUACUAGAUGGCCAAAGCUACAGAAGAGAAAUUGCUAAAAGGUAAGGAGUUUGUCUCCCAUAUACAUGCUAAAGUGUUUGAAUUAAAGGGACAACAUUUCUAUGCCUCCUAGUUUCGAAUCCAACUCUUAGAGAAGAAAGCCCAACUGGAAGAGGAGCUAGCCGCAGUCAAUCUAGCCUUGGAUCGAAAUGCCAAAAAGCUCCAAAUUACUAACCAAGGACUGGUUGACAGAAGGCAGGACAUGAUUAUAGUCAUUCAAUUGUUCCUAUCCCUUAGGAGUAGAGAAUCAAUUGUAAGGGAACAACUAAAACACUGUAAUGAUUUUUGGGCUAAUUUAUGGCUACAUGUACUUAAAUCUUUGUGAAAUGAAAUCCUCAUUAUUUAUCCAAGUGUUCCAUGCUCUUUUACUAUUCUUACUUAGCAUUUCUUACAGUUCUUGUGUUUCCCACACAGUUGAAUAAUAAGGCUUCAAAUACUUGCCAUUGAUUUUCUUGGGAUGUACAUAGCCAUUAAGAUUUCUCAGAUGGUAUGCUUUUCCAGGCAAAACUCUAUGAACUUGAUAUGAUACUUUCCAGUUAGGUGACCAUUUGCCAAAUUUAUAGCUUUUACUUCUUAUCGGAAGUAUUGUUUUUCACACCAAAUCACCUUCAUCAAAGCUAAUGUGCUUCUUAUUAUAGCUUUUGGCUGCCUUCUUCUUUUGGAAAAGAAUACUAUUUAAUGCCAAUAUUCUAGCUUCAUCUGUAUUUUCUACUUCCAAGAACAUGUUAAUUGGUCUUGGGACUUCACCCUUAAGGACUUAAUGUUAAUCUCCACAGUCAACACUGUAUCAUGUCCAUAUAUUAAAGCAUAAGGAGUAAUCUUUGUACUUGACAUUGGAGAAAUUCUAUAA